GUUGCUCUUCUCAACUUUGGUUUCAUUGGCCAAAGCUUGGACAGUGGAGGUGUGUGCUGGCCGUCCCAGGUCAGCUCCUCUGAAAAGAAAUAAGCGAAGGAAAACACACCUGUUCCUGCACCUCUUGCUUCUGGCAUUGAUAGCUUUUCUAUGCCUGCUGCGUUUCCCGGGGUGCAUUUAAUUUAGGAUCGGUGAGGUUCUCGCUCACAGUCGUCUUCGGACCUUUAAAAC
rnacentral:misc_RNA from 1 species